rnacentral:tRNA from 1 species
GCCCCGGUAGCUCAGUGGAUAGAGCACGCCCCUCCUAAGGGCGGGGUCGCAGGUUCGAUUCCUGCCCGGGGCGCCA